CCAAUCAACCCUUGGAGAGUCUCCUCUGGGAUGCUGGCGAGGGUCUGUUUUUAGGCAUUUGAGGUUUCUGAUUGGGCCCAGAUAUUACCAGAGCCUUUUCUCUCCAUGUCCACGUCCUGGGCUGGACAGGGGAGUACCCAUAUAAGGCGGGUGCAUCCUGGCCCGUCCAUGAGGGUCACCCAAGUGUCUCUGAAGGGUGGAAGAUCCACGAUGUGGCUCUCUGGAGAUGGGAGCACCUCCACCUUGUUGUGGCUCUUUCUGAUGAAGUAGGUUAUAAGUAGGUUAUAUUCUUGGCCAGAUCAUUAUUCAGCUUUUGGAGAAACUCCUGGUUUCCUCAAGGAGAUGGCCAAGAGACUGUUCUGAGGACCUACCAGAAGACAAUGAGCGGGCCAAACUGGUUCGGGGAUUACUGGACUGCUUUCUUCACACCUGCAGAGAUGGUACCUCCUGUAGCGGGUAACAGUAUGGUCAGACCUUGGGUAAGCACAGAAGGGCAAGGAGACAUCGGGGCUGCUACUGGAUCCUUGGCUGAUCAGGCUGUCUUCUUAUUUUUCCCUGGAGGCCAUCGAAGUGGGUGUUGGGGCAGGCGGGCAGAUCAUGGUCCGGCCCUUGGAAGUUGAGGGCCGAGAUGAUCGGCAACGUCCGUGCAUAAUUUCAAUUAAAUGGCAAGCUAGAGUAUUGGCAGUUUAUAUAGAAAAGCAUUGGCUGUAAAGUUGAGUGGUAAUAAUGAUAGACAAGGCAGUUGUUCAGCAUUUUUAUAGUCCAGUCCAUUAUGAUGCAAUAAUCCAUGUUUAGUUCUACUGUCACACCCACCAGGAAGAAAAACAUGCUUCUUUCACUGUUUGGUUCUACUGCCACACCCCCCCAGGACCAAAAAUAUGCUUCUUACACUUUUUAGUUGUACUCUCACACCCCACCAAGACCAAAAACAUCCUUCUAUCAUGGAUUAGUUCUACUCCCACACAUAUGUAAAGUCUGUACUUCAUAGAAGCACUCGCCCUGUACUUCAUAGAAGCCCCAAGGGCCCCGCCCUGCAUAGCAAAAAAUAAACUAGGCCUAUAUAAAAAUAUAAAAAAGCUAAAAACUUUGUGGGCGAGACAACUUCUCUAGUUGACACAAUAAGGUCUGUCUGCGGCCCACAGCAGGGAAGCUGCGUCCAGGGAAGCUGCGUCCAGGGAAGCUGCGUCCAGGGAAGCUGCGCCCAGGGAAGCUGCGCCCAGGGAAGCUGUGCCCAUAUUGAACACCCUCCCAUUCUUCCAAUUUGUUGCUCUGCAGGCUGCGGCAAGAAAGCUCCGCCCAGGGAUGCUCCAUAUAGAACACGCUCCCUCCAUUCCAAUUCGUUCCUCACGACUGCGCCACAGUCACACACCUCCAAGACGACCACUGCCUUGUUAAAGAAGCGGAGGGUAAAGGUGAUGGACUGGCCAAGCAUGUCUCCAGACCUAAACCCUAUUGAGCAUCUGUGGGGGAUCCUUAAACGGAAGGUGGAGGAGCGCAAGGUCUCUAACAUCCACCAGCUCUGAGAUGUGGUCAUGGAGGAGUGGAAGAGGACUCCAGUAGCAACCUGUGAAGCUCAAAAUAUUGACACUUUGGGCCCAAUUUUGACAUUUUCACUUAGGGGUGUACUCACUUUUGUUGCCAGCGGUUUAGACAGUAAUGGCUGUGUGUUGAGUUAUUUUGAGGGGACAGCAACUUUACACUGUUAUACAUGCUGUACACUCACUACUUUACAUUGUAGCAAAGUGUCAUUACUUCAGUGUUGUCACAUGUAAAGAUAUGAUCAAAUAUUGACAGACAUGUGAGGGGUGUACUCACUUUUGUGAGAUACUAUAUAUAAGAAUAUUUUCACAAUGAUUAUUUUGUCUAGUCUCGUUUUUGCCAACCAAAAUAAAAAGUAUUUCUCGUCUCACUUUUGUUUUUUCUCUUUCUAUUUAGUCAGUUAUAGUCUCGUCAAGUGCCACUGGAAAAUAGGUAAUAAACCCUGAUGUCGCGUUGGGAAGAUUGGUUGCUGGUGAAGACUAUCGCCAGUGGCAGGGUUCCGUCUGUGGAGGUACUGAUUUACACUGUUAUACAUGCUGUACACUCACAACUUUACAUUGUAGCAAAGUGUCAUUUCUUCAGUGUUGUCACAUGAAUGAGAGUUUCUCAGUGUUUUUUUCAUGAUGCGC
ensembl:lncRNA